rnacentral:rRNA from 1 species
UACGUAGGGGGGCAAGCGUUGUCCGGAUUUAUUGGGCGUAAAGAGCGUGUAGGCGGCCUGGAAGGUCAGCUGUGAAAACUCGAGGCUCAACCUCGAGACGUCGGUUGAAACCACCUGGCUAGAGUCCGGAAGAGGAGAGUGGAAUUCCUGGUGUAGCGGUGAAAUGCGCAGAUAUCAGGAAGAACACCCGUGGCGAAGGCGGCUCUCUGGGACGGUACUGACGCUGAGACGCGAAAGCGUGGGGGAGCGAACAGG